GCCAUAGUACAGUGGCAGAACAUCUGCCCUGCAUGCAGAAGUCUCCAGGCUCAACCCCUAGCAUCUCCA